UUCGGGGUGGAUUAGUGGCGAACGGGUGAGUAACACGUGGGCAAUCUGCCCUGCACUCUGGGACAAGCCCUGGAAACGGGGUCUAAUACCGGAUAACACCCCCUCUCGCAUGGGAGGGGGUUGAAAGCUCCGGCGGUGCAGGAUGAGCCCGCGGCCUAUCAGCUUGUUGGUGAGGUAGAAGCUCACCAAGGCGACGACGGGUAGCCGGCCUGAGAGGGCGACCGGCCACACUGGGACUGAGACACGGCCCAGACUCCUACGGGAGGCAGCAGUGGGGAAUAUUGCACAAUGGGCGAAAGCCUGAUGCAGCGACGCCGCGUGAGGGAUGACGGCCUUCGGGUUGUAAACCUCUUUCAGCAGGGAAGAAGCGAAAGUGACGGUACCUGCAGAAGAAGCGCCGGCUAACUACGUGCCAGCAGCCGCGGUAAUACGUAGGGCGCAAGCGUUGUCCGGAAUUAUUGGGCGUAAAGAGCUCGUAGGCGGCUUGUCACGUCGGUUGUGAAAGCCCGGGGCUUAACCCCGGGUCUGCAGUCGAUACGGGCAGGCUAGAGUGUGGUAGGGGAGAUCGGAAUUCCUGGUGUAGCGGUGAAAUGCGCAGAUAUCAGGAGGAACACCGGUGGCGAAGGCGGAUCUCUGGGCCAUUACUGACGCUGAGGAGCGAAAGCGUGGGGAGCGAACAGGAUUAGAUACCCUGGUAGUCCACGCCGUAAACGGUGGGAACUAGGUGUUGGCGACAUUCCACGUCGUCGGUGCCGCAGCUAACGCAUUAAGU
rnacentral:rRNA from 1 species